AUAGUGGCGACGGGUGAGUACACGUGGGCAAUCUGCCCUUCACUCUGGGACAAGCCCUGGAAACGGGGUCUAAUACCGGAUAACACUCUCCAAAGCAUUUUGGGGGGUUAAAAGCUCCGGCGGUGAAGGAUGAGCCCGCGGCCUAUCAGCUUGUUGGUGGGGUAAUGGCCUACCAAGGCGACGACGGGUAGCCGGCCUGAGAGGGCGACCGGCCACACUGGGACUGAGACACGGCCCAGACUCCUACGGGAGGCAGCAGUGGGGAAUAUUGCACAAUGGGCGAAAGCCUGAUGCAGCGACGCCGCGUGAGGGAUGACGGCCUUCGGGUUGUAAACCUCUUUCAGCAGGGAAGAAGCGAAAGUGACGGUACCUGCAGAAGAAGCGCCGGCUAACUACGUGCCAGCAGCCGCGGUAAUACGUAGGGCGCAAGCGUUGUCCGGAAUUAUUGGGCGUAAAGAGCUCGUAGGCGGCUUGUCACGUCGGAUGUGAAAGCCCGGGGCUUAACCCCGGGUCUGCAUUCGAUACGGGCUAGCUAGAGUGUGGUAGGGGAGAUCGGAAUUCCUGGUGUAGCGGUGAAAUGCGCAGAUAUCAG
rnacentral:rRNA from 1 species